rnacentral:rRNA from 1 species
UACGUAGGGUGCGAGCGUUGUCCGGAAUUAUUGGGCGUAAAGAGCGUGUAGGCGGCCAGGUAGGUCGGCUGUGAAAACUCGAGGCUCAACCUCGAGCUGUCGGCCGAAACCAUCUGGCUAGAGUCCGGAAGAGGAGAAUGGAAUUCCCGGUGUAGCGGUGAAAUGCGCAGAUAUCGGGAAGAACACCCGUGGCGAAGGCGGUUCUCUGGGACGGUACUGACGCUGAGACGCGAAAGCGUGGGGAGCGAACAGG